rnacentral:rRNA from 1 species
CCUACGGGGGGCAGCAGUCGAGAAUCAUUCACAAUGGGGGAAACCCUGAUGGUGCGACGCCGCGUGGGGGAAUGAAGGUCUUCGGAUUGUAAACCCCUGUCAUGUGGGAGCAAAUUAAAAAGAUAGUACCACAAGAGGAAGAGACGGCUAACUCUGUACCAGCAGCCGCGGUAAUACAGAGGUCUCAAGCGUUGUUCGGAAUCACUGGGCGUAAAGCGUGCGUAGGCUGUUUAGUAAGUCGUGUGUGAAAGGCGGGGGCUCAACCCGCGGACGGCACAUGAUACUGCGAGACUAGAGUAAUGGAGGGGGAACCGGAAUUCUCGGUGUAGCAGUGAAAUGCGUAGAUAUCGAGAGGAACACUCGUGGCGAAGGCGGGUUCCUGGACAGUAACUGACGCUGAGGCACGAAGGCCAGGGGAGCGAAAGGGAUUAGAUACCCCUGUAGUC